UAAGUUCGGACAGACUGCCUGGAUUUGGGCUGAGGUAGUUGUUUGUACAGUUUAAGGGUCUGUGACACCACCCUCUGUUGGAGAUAACUGUACAGGCCACUGCCUUGCCUAGGACAGAGCAUACUCGACAAGGAAUCC
rnacentral:pre_miRNA from 14 species